ACGCCAUUCAGCAGUUUGUAAGCGUAUUCGAUACAGAUAACACGUAUCCAUUUUUAUUUUUAAAAUCGUCGUGUGCAUUUGUUUACCAAACCAGUGAAUUAUAAAUCUUUGGAUAAAGACUACACAGUGCAACAUUUUUAGUGUUUUAAGUUUGGUGACAUCGGUUCUUUCAAUUAGAUUUUCCUGUAUGUCAAGAUGGGCUAAUCUGUUCUGAAGUUGAUCGGAUAAAAUAUAUAAGCACUUGAUGGCAAUAAGUGAACAGGAGGCGAAGAAUAAAUCGGCUAUAAUCAUGUACUCUAUGAACUACAUCGGUACGUUCUUCAAGAAGUUCUACAAUGAGAUAAACAGUGCGACGUUGACGGGGGCCAUUGACGUGAUUGUGGUGGAGCAGCCCGAUGGCAGCUUCACUUGUUCCCCGUUCCACGUGCGCUUUGGAAAACUGGGCGUGCUCCGUUCCAGAUUUAAAGUGGUGGACCUCGAGCUCAAUGGAGAGCCCCUCCCGAUUCAUAUGAAGCUGGGUGAAUCUGGUGAGGCGUUCUUUGUGGUGGAAGUCGGUGAAGAUGAGGCCGAAUGCUCGGCUCACUUGGCCACAUCGCCGAUACCGGCGAAUCGAUUCGACGACUUAUAUGAACCACGCCGCAGAAACUCGCUGUCCGCUGUGGAACCCGAUCAUGGACAAGCAUCCGAUUAUACCAAAAGGAGGUACACAGCUGACGGCAAAACGAUGCAGAAACCUGACUUAAGUAAACAUUCAAAGAAAAAUACCAAAGAAGACAAUAACAAAACCGACGAGACGGAAGCAUUAUUUGAGAUGGAUGGUCUCAAUGAAGCCACUGACUGGACAGAUUCCAAACCAAAGACAUUUUCGGCGACGCAGCUCGGUGCCGGCACUGAAGCGAGCCAAACCGUGUUAAAAAUUAGCGAGAACAAUGACUUUAGACCUAUCGACAUCAUACCGACUAGCCAAGAAGAUACGAAACCGAAUGGAAACGGAAAGAAAAAGAAGAAAACGCGUAAAGUUAGCUCUAAGAAAAAGCAUCAAAGGAAGUCUUCUACCAGCUCGAUUUCAAGCCAGUCUGAAGUCACCGGCUCGGAGCUACGCGCCUCGCAGCCUACCGCCAUUCCAAAUACCACCGAUAUUAAUUUCUUUAGCGACUCCGAAGCUGCUGCUCUCAAUGAAGAGAUGUCAAAUUUGAAGCUGAAUGGUGAAAACCGCAUACCAUUGGCGUUGUCUGAUACAGCGUUCGAGGUGCACGCUGCCUCCAGACAUACGAAAGGAUCCCGUCACGGCACGCCGGUACAAUCUGACACGGAGGUUGAACUGGCGCGCACCACAUCCGGCGAUAAGUCGUCCCAGUCUUGGCGUUGGGGUGAACUUCCGGAACCACCGAUCCGUGGGACCCAAGUAGCGGAGACUCCAGAAACGCCGGCCUCUCCAGCAUCACCAGUAGAACCGGCUUCUCCCACGGAACCCCUCAGUUCUGAUGAGGAAAGGCACGGCCGUCGCGGAGUUCUCAGUGGAAUGUUCCGAUUCAUAUCCUCGAGGGAAGCGACUGAGCCUGGAGUGGAAGGCGUCUACCUGGACGAUCUGGACAAGGGACAAGUCGAUCCGGAUAUUUAUUUCCCAAAACAUCACGCGGGCCGGUACAGAACCGGCGCAACAGGCGCGCCGUGCCCCACAGAGGAGGAGUACGAGUCCGGCAACGGCCCGUCGCUGCCGCAGUCGCCCGCCUCGCCCGCCUCGCUCGAACCGGCCGCGCUCGACUCCGACGACGACGAGAAACUGCUUGCCAAGGGCUGCGUGGAGGUGUACGCGCGCGAGGGCGCGGUGUCGCACGCGCUGUCGUACGAGGAGUUCUGCGCGGCGGGCGGGCGGCUCGCGGCCGAGGGCCGGCUCGAGGUGCGCGUGGCCGGCCGCCGCCUGCCCUGGCGCAGCGCCGGCCCGCUGCUGCUCUCGCUGCUCGCCUACCGCCGCCCGCUACCCGCGCGUGUGAUGGAGUCACUGGAGAAGGACGACAAGGAGGCGGCGGAGUCGCAGCGCGCCGACGCGGCCAAGCCCAGGUCCUACUCGUGGUGGUACUGGAGGAGGUCCACGUCGGACUCGAAAAGAACUGACCCAUCACCCAAAGACGAGUUAAAGAAUGCGUCCCUGCCCCCAUUGAAGAUAGAACCUACAGGACACGAUCAAGUGGACCAUUUCACUGGUGUGAAAAUCGAAGAGAACAACCUAGAAGAAACCAAUAUUGUUGAGGAAAUACAACCCGAUGAUUUAAUUGAGAGCAGCGGUAACCAAGAACUGUUGGAUGACAAAACUAUGUUUAAUGAAGGUGAUCGUCUCGAACAGAGCUCGUCAGAUUCCGAUCAAGAUACACAGCAGAAGGGCUCUCGGCGACCUUCCACAUUCCGCAAGACGCUGCGACUCACGUCUGAACAAAUUAAAAAGCUAAACCUGCGCGAGGGCAUGAACGAGAUGGUGUUCAGCGUGACGACCGCGUACCAGGGCACGACGCGCUGCAAGUGCAACGUGUUCCGCUGGCGCUACGACCACAAGAUCGUCAUAUCCGACAUCGACGGCACCAUCACCAAGUCUGACGUACUAGGACACAUUUUCCCCUUGGUCGGAAAGGAUUGGGCGCAAUCCGGUGUUGCUCAACUGUUCACGAAAAUCAAAAACAAUGGUUACCAGCUGCUGUACUUAUCAGCGCGAGCUAUUGGGCAAGCUGGGGUGACCCGAGAAUACCUCCGCUCCAUAAAGCAGGGCGAGGUGUGUCUGCCGGACGGGCCGUUGCUGCUCAACCCCACGUCGUUGCUGCGCGCCUUCCAUAGAGAAGUCAUCGAGAAGAAACCGGAAGAGUUCAAGAUUCAAUGCUUGGCUGAUAUAAAAGCGCUCUUCCCGACUGGCUCCAACCCCUUUUAUGCGGGGUAUGGGAAUAGAGUUAAUGACGUGUGGGCGUACCAAGCUGUCGGCAUUCCCAUAGUGAGGAUAUUCACAAUCAACUACAAGGGCGAACUCAAGCAUGAACUGACGCAGACAUUCCAAUCCACUUACCACGUGCAAAGUGACAUGGUCGAUGAUUUCUUCCCGCCGUUGAAAAGCGAUAAUGUUAGCUAGCGCGAAUAAUGAUUAGAUUUAUUUCGAUUAUAAGGAAUGAGCACGUGACUAUGGUACUCGCACAUGACUGUGCUAGUGGACCAAGUGUUCCCGCCGGUGCUGUGCGAGCCGAGCGACGAGUUCUCGCAGGCGGUGUACUGGCGCGAGCCGCUGCCCGACGUCUUACUACCCGCAAUUACAACAACUCCCACC
rnacentral:misc_RNA from 1 species